AAACUUUUAACAACGGAUCUCUUGGCUCUAGCAUCGAUGAAGAACGCAGCGAAACGCGAUAUGUAGUGUGAAUUGCAGAAUUCAGUGAAUCAUCGAAUCUUUGAACGCACAUGGCGCCUUCCAGUAUCCUGGGAGGCAUGCCUGUCC
rnacentral:rRNA from 1 species